UACGUAGGGGGCAAGCGUUGUCCGGAUUUAUUGGGCGUAAAGAGCGUGUAGGCGGCCAUUCAGGUCAGCUGUGAAAACUCGAGGCUCAACCUCGAGACGUCGGUUGAAACCGUUUGGCUAGAGUCCGGAAGAGGAGAGUGGAAUUCCCGGUGUAGCGGUGAAAUGCGCAGAUAUCGGGAAGAACACCCGUGGCGAAGGCGGCUCUCUGGGACGGUACUGACGCUGAGACGCGAAAGCGUGGGGAGCCGAACAGG
rnacentral:rRNA from 1 species